rnacentral:rRNA from 1 species
AUUGAACGCUGGCGGCAUGCUUAACACGUGCAAGUCGAACGGCAGCAUGGCCUGUAGCAAUACAGGCUGAUGGCGAGUGGCGGACGGGUGAGGAACGCGUAGGAAUCUGCCCUAGAGAGGGGGAUAACCCGGGGAAACUCGGGCUAAUAACGCAUAUUACUCUGAGGAGGAAAUGCUGGGUAGCAAUACCUGGCGCUUUAGGAGGAGCCUGCGUCCGAUUAGCUAGUUGGUUAGGUAAAGGCUGACCAAGGCGAUGAUCGGUAGCUGUUCUGCGAGGAAGAUCAGCCACACUGGGACUGAGACACGGCCCAGACUCCUACGGGAGGCAGCAGUGGGGAAUAUUGGACAAUGGGGGCAACCCUGAUCCAGCAAUGCCGCGUGUGUGAAGAAGGCCUUCGGGUUGUAAAGCACUUUAGGUCAAGAAGAAGGCAUGUAGUUUAAGAGAUGACAUGCUUGACAGUAUUGACAGAAUAAGCACCGGCUAACUCUGUGCCAGCCGCCGCAGUAA